CCAGACUGGGUCCUACAUAACAUUUAGCUGGGUUACUCUUCUGAGCCUCAGUUUCCUCAUCUGUAAAAUGAGAAUAACAGCAUUAGCCUCGUCUAUUUCCUAAGGACAGUUUGAGGCUCAGAAGAGAAAAGAGCAAUGAGUGUGCUUUGACAUUGUCCACCAAUAGAUACAUGUAAGGGAUUAUACUAGUCGACUGUAGUACUUCUUGACCAGGGCUCCCACCACAGCCUUCCACCUCUACUUCUAGAGUGUCAGGGGGAGAUCUGUGUCCCAGGAAAGGCAGGUCAAUCACACAACCAUUCACUUUGUAUUCAACCACCAUCUACAGAGAGCCUACUGUGUGCCGGGCACUGAGCAUAGCGAGAUGAAAAACCAGCCUGCCCGCAAGGACUCCAGAGGUCUACUGCAGCCCAUGAGAAGGACACACUUUGGAUCCUGUCUCCACGGUUUGAAACGAAGAAAAAGCAACUGCGCAAACAAGCUCAGACUAGCGGAGGAGACAAGAACAGCGCCUGCCAGACGAGGCAUCAAGAGAGAUAUCAAGGGCAGACACUGGAAGAGACUUCUGAGCUUGGCUGAGUCCAGCAUCUGCCUUCUACAGAUGAGGAAACUGAGGCCCAGAAAUGAAGUUAGUGUAAAAUUAGCAUUGUUUCUUCCUUAAAUGUUUCGGUAGGGGCUGGCCCCAUGGCCAAGUGGUUAAGUUCGCACGCUCCCCUUCCGCGGCCCAGGGUUUCACCCGUUCAGAUCCUGGCCAUGCUGAGGUGACGUCCCACAUGCCACAACUAGAAGGACCCACAACUAAAAGAAAUACACAACUAUAUACCAGGGGGCUUUAGGGAGAAAAAAGAAAAAAUAAAAUCUUAAAAAGAAAAAAUGUUUUGGUAGAA
rnacentral:lncRNA from 1 species